rnacentral:rRNA from 1 species
UACGUAGGGGGCAAGCGUUGUCCGGAAUCAUUGGGCGUAAAGCGCGUGUAGGCGGUCCGGUUAGUCGGCUGUGAAAGUCAAGGGCUCAACCUUGAAUGCCGGUCGAUACUGCCGGACUAGAGUCCGGAAGAGGCAAGUGGAAUUCCCGGUGUAGCGGUGAAAUGCGCAGAUAUCUGGAGGAACACCGGUGGCGAAGGCGGCAUCCUGGACCGGCAUUGACGCUGAGGCGCGAAAGCUAGGGGAGCAAACGGGG